CCUACGGGAGGCAGCAGUGAGGAAUAUUGGUCAAUGGGCGCGAGCCUGAACCAGCCAAGUCGCGUGAGGGACGACGGUCCUAUGGAUUGUAAACCUCUUUUGUCGGGGAGCAAAAGACGACACGCGUGGCGUUCCGAGAGUACCCUAAGAAAAAGCAUCGGCUAACUCCGUGCCAGCAACCGGGGCAAUCCGGAGGAUGCGAGCGUUAUCCGGAUUGAUUGGUGUGAAGGGGGGAGCAGGCGGAAGAUCAAGUCAGCGGUAAAAUUGAGAGGCUCAACCUCUUCGAGCCGUUGAAACUGGUUUUCUAGAGUGAGCGAGAAGUAUGCGGAAUGCGUGGUGUAGCAGUGAAAUGCAUAGAUAUCAAGCAGAACUCCGAUUGCGAAGGCAGCAUACCGGCGCUCAACUGACGCUCAUGCACGAAAGUGUGGGUAUCGAACAGGAUUAGAUACCCGUGUAGUC
rnacentral:rRNA from 1 species